rnacentral:lncRNA from 1 species
GAAAAAACAAGCCACAGCCUAGAAGGAAAUAUUUGCAUGUCACACUUUUGAUAAAGGAGUUGUUUCUAUAGUAUAUAAGAAACCCCCAAAAUUCAACAAGAGAACAACCCAGUUUUUAAAGUAGACAGAAGAUAUUAACGGACACCACCCCAGAGAUAAUCCACAGAUGGCAAGGAAGCCUGUGAAGAUGCUCAGUGCCAUUUUCAUCAGGGAACUGCAAGUUGAAGCCACCGUGAGAUGCCGUGUACCCACCCGUGCUAGAACAGCCGAAAUACCAGCAAUGUGAAAGGCUGGGGAGGGUCCAGAGCAGCAGAGACUCCCCUUCACUGCUAGGGUGAAGGGAGAAUGAUACAGCCUCUUCGGAAGACAGUUUGGGCAUUUCUUACAAAGGUAAACAUAUAUUUACCCAGUAGUCCUGUUCCUAGGUAUUUCUCCAAGAGAAAUGAAAACUUAGAUUCAUACUAAAUCCUAUAUAUGAAUGUUCACAGCAGCACUGUCAUAACUGCCAGAAGCUGGAAACAACCUUGUGCCCUUCAGCCAGUGGGCAGAAGGAUGUCUCCGUGGACAGGGACAGCCCAUGCGUGGAUGGAAGGACAUCUCCGUGGACAGGGACAGCUCCCGCGUGAUGGAAGGACAUCUCUGUGGACGGGGACAGCCCGUGUGUGAUGGAAGGACAUCUCCGUGGACGGGGACAGCCCGUGCGUGAUGGAAGGACAUCUCCGUGGACGGGGACAGCCCAUGCGUGGAUGGAAGGACAUCUCCGUGGACGGGGACAGCCUGUGCGUGGAUGGAAGGACAUCUCCGUGGACGGGGACAGCCCGUGCGUGAUGGAAGGACAUCUCCGUGGACGGGGACAGCCCGUGCGUGGAUGGAAGGACAUCUCCGUGGACGGAGACAGCCCAUGCGUGGAUGGAAGGACAUCUCCGUGGACGG